GACGAACGCUGGCGGCGUGCUUAACACAUGCAAGUCGAGCGGAAAGGCCCUUCGGGGUACUCGAGCGGCGAACGGGUGAGUAACACGUGAGUAACCUGCCCCAGGCUUUGGGAUAACCCUCGGAAACGGGGGCUAAUACCGGAUGUGACUUCCUGCCGCAUGGUGGGGGGUGGAAAGUUUUUUCGGCUUGGGAUGGGCUCGCGGCCUAUCAGCUUGUUGGUGGGGUGAUGGCCUACCAAGGCGGUGACGGGUAGCCGGCCUGAGAGGGCGACCGGCCACACUGGGACUGAGACACGGCCCAGACUCCUACGGGAGGCAGCAGUGGGGAAUAUUGCACAAUGGGCGCAAGCCUGAUGCAGCGACGCCGCGUGAGGGAUGACGGCCUUCGGGUUGUAAACCUCUUUCGGCAGGGACGAAGCCGCAAGGUGACGGUACCUGUAGAAGAAGCGCCGGCCAACUACGUGCCAGCCGCCGCAGUAACAC
rnacentral:rRNA from 1 species